rnacentral:rRNA from 1 species
UACGGAAGGGGCUAGCGUUGUUCGGAAUUACUGGGCGUAAAGAGCGCGUAGGCUGCUGACCAAGUUGGGGGUGAAAUCCCGGAGCUCAACUCCGGAACUGCCUUCAAAACUGGUAGGCUCGAGUCCGGAAGAGGGGCGUGGAAUUCCCAGUGUAGAGGUGAAAUUCGUAGAUAUUGGGAAGAACACCGGUGGCGAAGCCGGCGCCCUGGUCCGGUACUGACGCUGAGGCGCGAAAGCGUGGGGAGCAAACAGC